UGUGCUGUGAGGCAUGCUGGAGGUAUCAGAAGUGCGAAUGCUGACAUAAGUAACGAUAAAGCGGGUGAAAAGCCCGCUCGCCGGAAGACCAAGGGUUCCUGUCCAACGUUAAUCGGGGCAGGGUGAGUCGACCCCUAAGGCGAGGCCGAAAGGCGUAGUCGAUGGGAAACAGGUUAAUAUUCCUGUACUUGGUGUUACUGCGAAGGGGGGACGGAGAAGGCUAUGUUGGCCGGGCGACGGUUGUCCCGGUUUAAGCGUGUAGGCUGGUUUUCCAGGCAAAUCCGGAAAAUCAAGGCUGAGGCGUGAUGACGAGGCACUACGGUGCUGAAGCAACAAAUGCCCUGCUUCCAGGAAAAGCCUCUAAGCAUCAGGUAACAUCAAAUCGUACCCCAAACCGACACAGGUGGUCAGGUAGAGAAUACCAAGGCGCUUGAGAGAACUCGGGUGAAGGAACUAGGCAAAAUGGUGCCGUAACUUCGGGAGAAGGCACGCUGAUAUGUAGGUGAAGUCCCUCGCGGAUGGAGCUGAAAUCAGUCGAAGAUACCAGCUGGCUGCAACUGUUUAUUAAAAACACAGCACUGUGCAAACACGAAAGUGGACGUAUACGGUGUGACGCCUGCCCGGUGCCGGAAGGUUAAUUGAUGGGGUUAGCGCAAGCGAAGCUCUUGAUCGAAGCCCCGGUAAACGGCGGCCGUAACUAUAACGGUCCUAAGGUAGCGAAAUUCCUUGUCGGGUAAGUUCCGACCUGCACGAAUGGCGUAAUGAUGGCCAGGCUGUCUCCACCCGAGACUCAGUGAAAUUGAACUCGCUGUGAAGAUGCAGUGUACCCGCGGCAAGACGGAAAGACCCCGUGAACCUUUACUAUAGCUUGACACUGAACAUUGAGCCUUGAUGUGUAGGAUAGGUGGGAGGCUUAGAAGUGUGGACGCCAGUCUGCAUGGAGCCGACCUUGAAAUACCACCCUUUAAUGUUUGAUGUUCUAACGUUGACCCGUAAUCCGGGUUGCGGACAGUGUCUGGUGGGUAGUUUGACUGGGGCGGUCUCCUCCUAAAGAGUAACGGAGGAGCACGAAGGUUGGCUAAUCCUGGUCGGACAUCAGGAGGUUAGUGCAAUGGCAUAAGCCAGCUUGACUGCGAGCGUGACGGCGCGAGCAGGUGCGAAAGCAGGUCAUAGUGAUCCGGUGGUUCUGAAUGGAAGGGCCAUCGCUCAACGGAUAAAAGGUACUCCGGGGAUAACAGGCUGAUACCGCCCAAGAGUUCAUAUCGACGGCGGUGUUUGGCACCUCGAUGUCGGCUCAUCACAUCCUGGGGCUGAAGUAGGUCCCAAGGGUAUGGCUGUUCGCCAUUUAAAGUGGUACGCGAGCUGGGUUUAGAACGUCGUGAGACAGUUCGGUCCCUAUCUGCCGUGGGCGCUGGAGAACUGAGGGGGGCUGCUCCUAGUACGAGAGGACCGGAGUGGACGCAUCACUGGUGUUCGGGUUGUCAUGCCAAUGGCACUGCCCGGUAGCUAAAUGCGGAAGAGAUAAGUGCUGAAAGCAUCUAAGCACGAAACUUGCCCCGAGAUGAGUUCUCCCUGACUCCUUGAGAGUCCUGAAGGAACGUUGAAGACGACGACGUUGAUAGGCCGGGUGUGUAAGCGCAGCGAUGCGUUGAGCUAACCGGUACUAAUGAACCGUGAGGCUUAACCUUACAACGCCGAAG
rnacentral:rRNA from 1 species